ACUUGUUGUUUGCUCUAUUUGUUUUCCAAAGGAAAAAGCAGUUAUGGCUGAGACUACGAGAGCCAACCUGUGUGCGAUGGCAGAAGUUUUGGAAACUUAACAAAUGCAGCACUUUGGGAUUGAAUCCUUCCCACAGUGGAGAAGAAAAAGACCUAGUUGUAUAGUGAGCAACAUACGCAGAGAGUACUUCCUUAAUAAAUAUGGGAGGAAAGAAAUAUACAAACCUGCAAGCAUCCGUAUAUUGCUAGAACUGCUAAAAUUUGAAGUCUCUCAGGAAUGGAUAAAUUCUUGUUUUAUUUCUCUCUUUCAUGGACCAGUGCUGGAAAAGAUCACAGUAGUCAUCGUCCCUAGAAGACUUGCAUGUUACUUUCAUAAUCUGUGAGGAAAGUGGAGGCAAGACUUAUUUUGCUGAAGAGCUCCAGGGUACCUAUCAAUUCCAUCGUUUUUCAGUAUCUGGGCAUAGCACCAAAUGAGGAUGCUAAGGGGAAUCAAGAGGCCUAAGAUAUUGGCUGCAAACUGAAAAACAGCCUUAUAGACGUUGUUGCCUGCAGGGUAUUUGGAGAUACACUGCACAGACUGCU